rnacentral:rRNA from 1 species
GGGUUGUGAGGUUAAGCGACUAAGCGUACACGGUGGAUGCCUAGGCAGUCAGAGGCGAUGAAGGGCGUGCUAAUCUGCGAAAAGCGUCGGUAAGGUGAUAUGAACCGUUAUAACCGACGAUACCCGAAUGGGGAAACCCAGUGCAAUUCGUUGCACUAUUGCAUGGUGAAUACAUAGCCAUGCAAGGCGAACCGGGGGAACUGAAACAUCUAAGUACCCCGAGGAAAAGAAAUCAACCGAGAUUCCCCCAGUAGCGGCGAGCGAACGGGGAGGAGCCCAGAACCUGAAUCAGCGUAUGUGUUAGUGGAAGCGUCUGGAAAGUCGCACGGUACAGGGUGAUAGUCCCGUACACAAAAAUGCAUAUGUUGUGAGUUCGAUGAGUAGGGCGGGACACGUGACAUCCUGUCUGAAUAUGGGGGGACCAUCCUCCAAGGCUAAAUACUCCUGACUGACCGAUAGUGAACCAGUACCGUGAGGGAAAGGCGAAAAGAACCCCGGCGAGGGGAGUGAAAUAGAACCUGAAACCGUGUACGUACAAGCAGUGGGAGCACCUUCGUGGUGUGACUGCGUACCUUUUGUAUAAUGGGUCAGCGACUUAUAUUUUGUAGCAAGGUUAACCGAAUAGGGGAGCCGUAGGGAAACCGAGUCUUAACUGGGCGAAUAGUUGCAAGGUAUAGACCCGAAACCCGGUGAUCUAGCCAUGGGCAGGUUGAAGGUUGGGUAACACUAACUGGAGGACCGAACCGACUAAUGUUGAAAAAUUAGCGGAUGACUUGUGGCUGGGGGUGAAAGGCCAAUCAAACCGGGAGAUAGCUGGUUCUCCCCGAAAGCUAUUUAGGUAGCGCCUCGUGAACUCAUCUUCGGGGGUAGAGCACUGUUUCGGCUAGGGGGUCAUCCCGACUUACCAAACCGAUGCAAACUCCGAAUACCGAAGAAUGUUAUCACGGGAGACACACGGCGGGUGCUAACGUCCGUCGUGAAGAGGGAAACAACCCAGACCGCCAGCUAAGGUCCCAAAGUCAUGGUUAAGUGGGAAACGAUGUGGGAAGGCAUAGACAGCCAGGAUGUUGGCUUAGAAGCAGCCAUCAUUUAAAGAAAGCGUAAUAGCUCACUGGUCGAGUCGGCCUGCGCGGAAGAUGUAACGGGGCUAAACCAUGCACCGAAGCUGCGGCAGCGACACUUAGGUGUUGUUGGGUAGGGGAGCGUUCUGUAAGCCGUUGAAGGUGACCUGUGAGGGUUGCUGGAGGUAUCAGAAGUGCGAAUGCUGACAUAAGUAACGAUAAUGCGGGUGAAAAACCCGCACGCCGGAAGACCAAGGGUUCCUGUCCAACGUUAAUCGGGGCAGGGUGAGUCGACCCCUAAGGCGAGGCUGAAAAGCGUAGUCGAUGGGAAACAGGUUAAUAUUCCUGUACUUGGUGUUACUGCGAAGGGGGGACGGAGAAGGCUAGGCUAGCCGGGCGACGGUUGUCCCGGUUUAAGCAUGUAGGCGGAGUGACUUGGUAAAUCCGGUUGCUUAUCAACGCUGAGGUGUGAUGACGAGUCACUACGGUGAUGAAGUAGUUGAUGCCAAGCUUCCAGGAAAAGCCUCUAAGCAUCAGGUAACAUUAAAUCGUACCCCAAACCGACACAGGUGGUCAGGUAGAGAAUACUCAGGCGCUUGAGAGAACUCGGGUGAAGGAACUAGGCAAAAUGGUGCCGUAACUUCGGGAGAAGGCACGCUGGCAUUAGGUAAAGGGACUUGCUCCCGGCGCCGAAGCCAGUCGCAGAUACCAGCUGGCUGCAACUGUUUAAUAAAAACACAGCACUGUGCAAACACGAAAGUGGACGUAUACGGUGUGACGCCUGCCCGGUGCUGGAAGGUUAAUUGAUGGGGUCAGCCGCAAGGCGAAGCUCUUGAUCGAAGCCCCAGUAAACGGCGGCCGUAACUAUAACGGUCCUAAGGUAGCGAAAUUCCUUGUCGGGUAAGUUCCGACCUGCACGAAUGGCGUAAUGAUGGCCAGGCUGUCUCCACCCGAGACUCAGUGAAAUUGAACUCGCUGUGAAGAUGCAGUGUACCCGCGGCAAGACGGAAAGACCCCGUGAACCUUUACUAUAGCUUGACACUGAACAUUGAGCCUUGAUGUGUAGGAUAGGUGGGAGGCAUUGAAGUGUGGACGCCAGUCUGCAUGGAGCCAACCUUGAAAUACCACCCUUUAAUGUUUGAUGUUCUAACUCGGCCCCAUAAUCUGGGGUGAGGACAGUGUCUGGUGGGUAGUUUGACUGGGGCGGUCUCCUCCCAAAGAGUAACGGAGGAGCACGAAGGUUAGCUAAUCACGGUCGGACAUCGUGAGGUUAGUGCAAAGGCAUAAGCUAGCUUGACUGCGAGAGUGACGGCUCGAGCAGGUACGAAAGUAGGUCUUAGUGAUCCGGUGGUUCUGAAUGGAAGGGCCAUCGCUCAACGGAUAAAAGGUACUCCGGGGAUAACAGGCUGAUACCGCCCAAGAGUUCAUAUCGACGGCGGUGUUUGGCACCUCGAUGUCGGCUCAUCACAUCCUGGGGCUGAAGUAGGUCCCAAGGGUAUGGCUGUUCGCCAUUUAAAGUGGUACGCGAGCUGGGUUUAGAACGUCGUGAGACAGUUCGGUCCCUAUCUGCCGUGGGCGUUGGAAGAUUGAGAGGGGCUGCUCCUAGUACGAGAGGACCGGAGUGGACGAAUCACUGGUGUUCGGGUUGUCAUGCCAAUGGCAUUGCCCGGUAGCUAAAUUCGGAAGAGAUAACCGCUGAAAGCAUCUAAGCGGGAAACUUGCCUCGAGAUGAGUCUUCCCUGGGGCUUUAAGCCCCCUGAAGGAACGUUAAAGACUAUGACGUUGAUAGGCUGGGUGUGUAAGUGCAGCGAUGCAUUGAGCUAACCAGUACUAAUGAUCCGUGAGGCUUAACCUUACAACACCGAAGGUGUUU